rnacentral:rRNA from 1 species
GACGAACGCUGGCGGCGCGCUUAACACAUGCAAGUCGAGCGAGAACCAGGGCUUCGGCCCUGGGGACAGCGGCGAACGGGUGAGUAACACGUGGGUAAUCUGCCCUCGGCACCGGAAUAGCCCGGGGAAACCCGGAUUAAUGCCGGAUGGCCCCUUCACCUCGCGAGGUGUCGGGAAAAGGUAGCUUCGGCCUCUGGCCGAGGAUGAGCCCGCGGCGGAUUAGCUUGUUGGCGGGGUAACGGCCCACCAAGGCGACGAUCCGCAGCUGGUCUGGGAGGACGAUCAGCCACACUGGGACUGAGAAACGGCCCAGACUCCUACGGGAGGCAGCAGUGGGGAAUCUUGCGCAAUGGGCGAAAGCCUGACGCAGCGACGCCGCGUGAGGGAAGAGGGCCUUCGGGUUGUAAACCUCUUUCAGGAGGGACGAAGCUACUCGGGUGAAUAGCCCAGAGGGUGACGGUACCUCCAGAAGAAGCCCCGGCUAACUACGUGCCAGCCGCCGCAGUAAAAC